GACAUCCCACUAUCUUCAGUUGAGGAUGACACUGGCGAAGGUGGAAGAAACCAACCAACCUGGGAGAAGUGGUCAAAUGAUGGUACGGAGCGACAGGUAGCUAAGCUUAUGGAAGAAAAUGUUGGUGCAGCCAUGCAGUUUCUUCAAUCAAAAGCUCUAUGCAUCAUGCCCAUCUCACUAGCGACGGCAAUUUACCAUACGCAACCACCGGAUACCGCUACUAUUGUAAAACCAGAAACAAAUCCACCAUCAUAGAACUUAGAAAGGGCUUUUUUCAAAGCAGGGUUGGAUGUCAAUGCCCAAAAAAAUACAGGCAGGCCCUUGAUGUCCUGCCAAGUUCAAGUGAAAGAGAAGAAUUUUCAAAGCUCAGUUGAUGCGCUCUUCUUUUUGGUAUCAGUGGUGGGGAUAGUGGGAAAUGAUGGGAGCACUUUUUUAGAGUGGGGGCACCAAUUUUUGGUAGUGGCUGUGGGACCUUGUAAAAGGGGC
rnacentral:misc_RNA from 1 species